GAUCCUGGCUCAGGAUGAACGCUAGCUACAGGCUUAACACAUGCAAGUCGAGGGGCAGCAUGACGAUAGCUUGCUAUUGUUGAUGGCGACCGGCGCACGGGUGAGUAACGCGUAUCCAACCUUCCCGUUGCUAGGGGAUAACCUUGCGAAAGUAAGACUAAUACCCUAUGAAGUUCUUCACAGACAUCUAAAGAGAACGAAAGAUUUAUCGGCAACGGAUGGGGAUGCGUCUGAUUAGGG
rnacentral:rRNA from 1 species